GAUGAACGCUGGCGGCGUGCCUAAUACAUGCAAGUCGAGCGAACAGACGAGGAGCUUGCUCCUCUGACGUUAGCGGCGGACGGGUGAGUAACACGUGGAUAACCUACCUAUAAGACUGGGAUAACUUCGGGAAACCGGAGCUAAUACCGGAUAAUAUGUUGAACCGCAUGGUUCAACAGUGAAAGACGGUCUUGCUGUCACUUAUAGAUGGAUCCGCGCCGCAUUAGCUAGUUGGUAAGGUAACGGCUUACCAAGGCAACGAUGCGUAGCCGACCUGAGAGGGUGAUCGGCCACACUGGAACUGAGACACGGUCCAGACUCCUACGGGAGGCAGCAGUAGGGAAUCUUCCGCGAUGGGCGAAAGCCUGACGGAGCAACGCCGCGUGAGUGAUGAAGGUCUUCGGAUCGUAAAACUCUGUUAUUAGGGAAGAACAAAUGUGUAAGUAACUGUGCACAUCUUGACGGUACCUAAUCAGAAAGCCACGGCUAACUACGUG
rnacentral:rRNA from 1 species